UGGCAAGAGCCAUACCUUGCCAUAUGGGUGGCUCCGCCCCUGGCCACGCCGCCGUGCUCCCAAGGGCCGCCGCCAGGCCCAUCUUCCCUCUCAGCUACUUUUCUUCCCCCUCGCGUCAUCGUUCUCUGUGAGCAUGGCUACCUCUCCUUUCACGCAGAUCUAGAACAAAACAAUGAACCAGGUGAAAGUCCAUUCAUCUCGUGAAGGUCUAACAAUCCCAUGGUGUUGGGUUAUGUGCGGCAAUUCGUGCAGCUAAAGAAGAUUCAAGCACGACAACCUCCUGUAGCCAAACAAGGGUGGUUGGAAGGAUUCCUCUAUUUUUGGUGUGAGAUCAAUGGUAGCUCGGACAUCAUAGGACAUGAUUUGCGACGUUCACAACUUCCUUGGCUUGUGACGGUGGUGUAGUGUGAUAUUCGAUAUAGUUGAUGGGAUAAUGUAAAAAGUUAGUUUUCUAUAUUUUGUGUUUAUGUGCUUGGAUGAUAUGAGCGAAACUAUUGAUUUCUAUGUAAUCUCUAUUGGGUUUCAAUAUUUGGUUAACUGAGUGUCUAUGCAUGUUAUGAGUUGGGAAUAUCACACUAGUAUGUAGUGUUUUGUAUGUUUCAUUUCGUUAAAAGGAAGUAUGUGUAAAGUUUUUAUACAUUGUUGCUCUAUUAAAUAAACA